GAGAUGCAACAAUGGUGUGGUGGCGGAGUUCAGGGGGGAAAUCCUUGUUGCGAUAGCAAUAGAACCUGUAAGGAUCCUUGUAAAACGUGAUGAAUUGACAUUUGAGGGUAUCGAACAAUUUUUUGUUGCUGUUGAAAACGGAAGUUCGGUACUUUGUGAGAUCUUUAUGAUACUUUGACGAUUCCUCAAGCUGUUAUUUUCUGCAACAUGAAGAGGAAGGUUGAUUGGUUAAUGGAGAAGAUGCGUAGCCAUAACUUCAGUCUCUUCUAUGCACGGAGACAUGCCUCAGACGGAGCGAGAUGCGAUCAUGAACAAGUUUAGAUCCGGGGACACCCUUGUUCUGAUAACAGCAUAUGUAUGGGCUCGUGGGAUUGAUACUAGAAUAGCUAAGCUGCGGGAUUGGUACUUUCUCACCUUUCCUAGGUCUUAUUUCCUUUGAACCUCCGACGCUAUUGCUUUCGCAGUCAGAGUUGGUUCACCUAAUUCUUCUGCCCAUCUCUACCACUUACGAAAUUGUAGGUUUCCUUAGUUACUAAUUAAGACCUUCCAAACAAUCGUGACCUUCCAAACAUUCAUUGGAUUGGUCGGUCAGGUAGUUUUGGGUUCAAGUUAAUUAUUUGUUUCUGGUUUUCAAACAGCGCGCUAUCAUUUUUCUGAUAAUAAGUUUUCUUGUUUUUCACAUGUAAAAUAUACUGUAUCGGAUCUGCUGGGCUUUGCUGUAAACUCUGUAUGAUGCGAUGAUAUCAGGAUUCUAAGAGACAUAGAUGGUACUACGGUACUCAAGUAGAUGAUAUCCCAAUGAACGUGGCUAAUCUAGUAUGGAUGGUGCGAGUGCAAGUUUUCUGGAGUUGCACUAUUGUUUUUUUCUGCUACUGCGACACUAGCUUUAAAUGUGAAUAUGCAGGUAUCUGCUACUUGAGGAGAAACAAAAUGAGUUUGGAUCGAUUCCGCAUUUGUGUUCUUCAUUUGUGCCACCAGAUUCUAUGCUAAGAUCCAGUGUUUUUGUUUCUUUCAAUUUGUGUAAAAUGG